GAGUUUGAUCGUGGCUCAGAACGAACGCUGGCGGCAGGCUUAACACAUGCAAGUCGAACGCCCCGCAAGGGGAGUGGCAGACGGGUGAGUAACGCGUGGGAAUCUACCCAGUUCUACGGAAUAACUGAGGGAAACUUCAGCUAAUACCGUAUACGCCUACGGGGAAGAUUUAUCGGAAUUGGAUGAGCCCGCGUAAGAUUAGCUAGUUGGUGAGGUAAUGGCUCACCAAGGCGACGAUCUUUAGCUGGUCUGAGAGGAUGAUCAGCCACACUGGGACUGAGACACGGCCCAGACUCCUACGGGAGGCAGCAGUGGGGAAUAUUGGACAAUGGGCGCAAGCCUGAUCCAGCCAUGCCGCGUGAGUGAUGAAGGCCUUAGGGUUGUAAAGCUCUUUCAGUUGGGGAAGAACCGGCCGGGUUAAUACCCUGGUUGAAUGACGGUACCCAAAGAAUAAGCACCGGCUAACUUCGUGCCAGCAGCCGCAGU
rnacentral:rRNA from 1 species